rnacentral:rRNA from 1 species
GUUAAGGCAUGAUUACCUGUACCCGAAACCGACACAGGUGGGGUGGUAGAGAAUACCGAGGGGCGCGAGGUAACUCUCUCUAAGGAACUCGGCAAAAUGACCCCGUAACUUCGGGAGAAGGGGUGCCAGCGCGAGCUGGUCGCAGUGAAUAGGCCCAGGCGACUGUUUACCAAAAACACAGGUCUCCGCUAAGUCGCAAGACGAUGUAUGGGGGCUGACGCCUGCCCAGUGCCGGAAGGUUAAAGAAGUUGGUCAGCGCAAGCGAAGCUAACGACUGAAGCCCCGGUGAACGGCGGCCGUAACAAUAACGGUCCUAAGGUAGCGAAAUUCCUUGUCGGGUAAGUUCCGACCCGCACGAAAGGCGUAACGAUCUGGGCGCUGUCUCGGAGAGAGGCUCGGCGAAAUAGAAUUGUCUGUGAAGAUGCGGACUACGUGCACCCGGGCAGAAAGACCCUAUGAAGCUUUACUGUAGCUUGGUAUUGUGCUCGGGCUCGCAAUGCGCAGGAUAGGUGGGAGGCUUUGAUCCAUUGCUUGUGGGUGAUGGUGAGCCACUGGUGAGAUACCACUCUUUGCGAGCUAGGGUUCUAACGGUUACCCGUCAUCCGGGAACCGGACAGUAUCUGGUGGGCAGUUUGACUGGGGCGGUCGCCUCCUAAAAGGUAACGGAGGCGCGCAAAGGUUUGCUCAGGCUGGUUGGAAAUCAGCCGACGAGUGUAAAAGCAGAAGCAAGCUUGACUGUGAGACCUACAAGUCGAACAGGGAGGAAACUCGGCUUUAGUGAUCCGACGGUUCUGAGAGGAAGGGCCGUCGCUCAACGGAUAAAAGUUACUCUAGGAUAACAGGCUGAUCUCCCCCAAGAGUUCACAUCGACGGGGAGGUUUGGCACCUCGAUGUCGGCUCAUCGCAACCUGGGGCUGAAGUCGGUCCCAAGGGUUGGGCUGUUCGCCCAUUAAAGCGGUACGAGCUGGGUUCAGAACGUCGUGAGACAGUUCGGUCCAUAUCCGGUGCAUGCGCAAGAAUAUUGAGAGGAUUUCUCCCUAGUACGAGAGGACCGGGAGGAACGCACCUCUGGUGUACCAGUUAUCGUGCCAACGGUAAACGCUGGGUAGCCAUGUGCGGAGUGGAUAACCGCUGAAAGCAUCUAAGUGGGAAGCCCACCUCAAGAUGAGUAUUCCCAUGGCUUAAGUCAGUAAGGUCACGGGAAGAACACCCGUUGAUAGGCUCUAUGUGGAAGCGCAGUAAUGCGUGAAGCAGAGGAGUACUAAUAGACCGAGGGCUUGAU